GCAGAGUAGCAGCUGCAACCCCGGGGGGCCCUGCCCAGGAUGGGGGGCUAGCUGAGGUGGGGGCCAGACAGCCACCCUGCGUAUGCACUGCUCAUGGCCCGGUGUGGGGACGGCAGGGGCGGGUCGCACCCCCUCUUAGGCCAUGAAUUGUUUUUCAGGAGGAAAAGCCUCGCGCUUGCCAGAAGGUCUGUGGGGCAAGCAUGGAAAUGCUCACUUCUUCCAAAAGGUCAAGUGACCCACAGGCUCGACGGGAGGCACUGCUGUGGGUCAGGGGUUUGCACGGCCGGUACUCUGGCGGCCAGGCCUCCAGGGCCCUGGGCUGAGAGGAGAGGAGGAGGACCACUUGAGGCCAGGCGCUGUGUGGGGCGGGAGAUGCGGUUCCGUG
ensembl:lncRNA